GCGCUUGUAGCUCAAUUGGAUAGAGCGUUAGCCUCCGAAGCUAAAGGCUGAGGGUUCGAGUCCCUCCAAGCGCG
rnacentral:tRNA from 1 species